UACGUAGGGCGCGAGCGUUGUCCGGAAUUAUUGGGCGUAAAGAGCUCGUAGGCGGCUUGUCGCGUCGGAUGUGAAAGCCCGGGGCUUAACCCCGGGUCUGCAUUCGAUACGGGCAGGCUAGAGUUCGGUAGGGGAGAUCGGAAUUCCUGGUGUAGCGGUGAAAUGCGCAGAUAUCAGGAGGAACACCGGUGGCGAAGGCGGGUCUCUGGGCCGUAACUGACGCUGAGGAGCGAAAGCAUGGGGAGCGAACAGG
rnacentral:rRNA from 1 species